rnacentral:lncRNA from 1 species
GUAUCCGGUUCCAUAUUCGGAUCCGCCUCCUUCAUACUCUGCCUUUCGGCCAUACCCAGAUCCGUAUUCAGAUUCGGGUUCACCAUAGCUGGGUCUCCUCCCAUAUUCGGAUCCAUAUUCACCGUGCUCUGGUUUCCUACUAUACUCAGAUCUGUACUCGGACUCUUGUUCGCCAUAUUCGGGUCUCCGGCCAUACCCAGAUUCAAAUUCAGGAGGCGGAGGCUGCUCAAAUUCGGGUCUCCGUCGAUACCCAGAUCCAAACUCAGGCGGCGGAGGCUGCUCAAAUUCUGAUCUCCGGCCGGAUCCGAAAUCCGGUUGAUGUGAAUGCUCAUAUGCCGGCCUCCGGCCAUGCCCAGAUCCAAACUCCUCAGGAGGCUGCUCGAAUUCAGGUCUUCGGCCAUAAUCAGAUUCAAAUUCGGAUCCGGGUCGUCCGAAAUCCGGCUUGCGUCCAUGACCAGAUUCGAAUUGCUCAUAUUCAGGUUUCCUUCCAUAGUCACCAGAUCCAGCACCAAAAGCAGGUGCAGGUUCGAAUCGUCCAGGUCGGGGCUUGGGUUUAAGAUAGCUACUGUAUUCAGUUUCAAGAGCUUCGUCGGCAUAAGCUAAGUGCGCGUAACCGGAAGAGAAAUCGGGACGUGCAUAAUCAAAGUCGCCAUCGGAGGGUGUAGCGGAAGGGUAGCAAGUCUCAUCG